rnacentral:rRNA from 1 species
CAGUCGCCGCGGGAAAACGAAGGGGGCUAGCGUUGUUCGGAAUUACUGGGCGUAAAGCGCACGUAGGCGGAUAUUUAAGUCAGGGGUGAAAUCCCAGAGCUCAACUCUGGAACUGCCUUUGAUACUGGGUAUCUAGAGUAUGGAAGAGGUGGGUGGAACUCCGAGUGUAGAGGUGAAAUUCGUAGAUAUUCGGAGGAACACCAGUGGCGAAGGCGGCUCACUGGUCCAUUACUGACGCUGAGGUGCGUAAGCGUGGGGAGCAAACAGGAUUAGAUACCCCCGUAGUCCCUGUCUCUUAUAC